rnacentral:misc_RNA from 1 species
GUGAAUCAUCGAAUUUUUGAACGCAAAUUGCACUCUCCUCGGAGAGUAUGCCUGUUUGAGGGUCAGCCUAUAAAAAAUCUACAUCGUGGCUGUUUCUCGGUGGCUUUCGUCGGUAAUUGGGUCAUCUUAAAUCCUUGUGGUGUAAGCGACUUAAAAUUUUCCUUUUGAUUCGAUCAACUGUUCUAAAAUUUUUUCCUUUACUCUUUUAAGGUAUCGUU